rnacentral:rRNA from 1 species
ACAGGCGGUGGAGCAUGUGGUUUAAUUCGAAGCAACGCGAAGAACCUUACCAGGCCUUGACAUGCAGAGAACUUUCCAGAGAUGGAUUGGUGCCUUCGGGAACUCUGACACAGGUGCUGCAUGGCUGUCGUCAGCUCGUGUCGUGAGAUGUUGGGUUAAGUCCCGUAACGAGCGCAACCCUUGUCCUUAGUUACCAGCACGUUAUGGUGGGCACUCUAAGGAGACUGCCGGUGACAAACCGGAGGAAGGUGGGGAUGACGUCAAGUCACCAUGGCCCUUACGGCCUGGGCUACACACGUGCUACAAUGGUCGGUACAAAGGGUUGCCAAGCCGCGAGGUGGAGCUAAUCCCAUAAAACCGAUCGUAGUCCGGAUCGCAGUCUGCAACUCGACUGCGUGAAGUCGGAAUCGCUAGUAAUCGUGAAUCAGAAUGUCACGGUGAAUACGUUCCCGGGCCUU